ACCGCCGCGGCCCAUCAGCGAAGAUCGCUGAGCGGCGCCCGCCUUGCGGGCCUCCAGGACCCGGCCGCCGCCAUCCGGUGGGAAGCCGGGUGGCCUGCGGGUGAGGGGGGCGAGGCGGACGGAGGGCACCACACCCCCCGGGGGGCGGGGCGGGCGGAGAGCACCCUACAUCCGGGAGCCGGGGCGGCGCCUGGAGAGCGGAGCAGGCAGCGCUUUCUGCCCGCUGAGUGGGUCAGGCGCCGCCCCCUUGUGGUCUCGGCCUGCGGGCAGCCCUUUGGAGCGCGCGGGAACCGGACGCCCGCCCGAGGAGAGAGGAUCCAGGAGACCACUCCGGGCGGGAUCCGCGGAGCCUGGGGCCGGGCGGUUGGCCCACAUUAUAAGAGGGCCUGCGUUGCUUCUACCUCAAAGGCUUUAGGGUGUUUGUUAAUUCCCCGCCCCCCAACCUGAUGAUGCUCCAGGUAUUUACAGGCAGGUGCCCCAUAGGCUGUUUACUGGGAAGCAGAAUUGGUGGACUCCGUUCGGGGAUAUGAGGAAAGAUCCAUAAGCAGAGAGAAUAAAGCCUUUGCACUUACAUUUUACUU
rnacentral:lncRNA from 1 species